rnacentral:rRNA from 1 species
ACACACCGCCCGUCACACCAUGAGAGUUGAGAAUACCGAAGCCCAUGUCAAAGUGGUCGAAGGUAGGCUUGAUGAUUGGGGUGAAGUCGUAACAAGGUACC